GACGAACGCUGGCGGCGUGCUUAACACAUGCAAGUCGAACGGAAAGGCCCCCACUUUUUUGGUGGGGGUGCUCGAGUGGCGAACGGGUGAGUAACACGUGGGUGAUCUGCCCUGUACUUCGGGAUAAGCUUGGGAAACUGGGUCUAAUACCGGAUAGGACCAUGGUUUAGUGUCUCAUGGUGGAAAAAUUAUUGUUUUGGUGCAGGAUGAGCUCGCGGCCUAUCAGCUUGUUGGUGGGGUAAUGGCCUACCAAGGCGUCGACGGGUAGCCGGCCUGAGAGGGUGGACGGCCACAUUGGGACUGAGAUACGGCCCAGACUCCUACGGGAGGCAGCAGUGGGGAAUAUUGCACAAUGGGCGCAAGCCUGAUGCCGCGACGCCGCGUGGGGGAUGACGGCCUUCGGGUUGUAAACUCCUUUCGUUAGGGACGAAGCCGCACCUUUUUUGGGUGUGGUGACGGUACCUUUGUUAAGAAGCACCGGCUAACUACGUG
rnacentral:rRNA from 1 species